rnacentral:rRNA from 1 species
AGCGAACGCUGGCGGCAGGCCUAACACAUGCAAGUCGAACGAAGUCUUCGGACUUAGUGGCGGACGGGUGAGUAACACGUGGGAACGUACCUUUUGGUUCGGAACAACUCAGGGAAACUUGAGCUAAUACCGGAUGAGCCCUUAGGGGGAAAGAUUUAUCGCCGAAAGAGCGGCCCGCGUUAGAUUAGCUAGUUGGUGAGGUAAAGGUUCACCAAGGUUACGAUCUAUAGCUGGUCUGAGAGAAUGAUCAGCCACACUGGGACUGAGACACGGCCCAGACUCCUACGGAAGGCAGCAGUGGGGAAUCUUGCGCAAUGGGCGAAAGCCUGACGCAGCCAUGCCGCGUGAAUGAUGAAGGUCUUAGGAUUGUAAAAUUCUUUUACCAGGGACGAUAAUGACGGUACCUGGAGAAAAAGCCCCGGCUAACUUCGUGCCAGCCGCCGCCGUAAUAC